rnacentral:lncRNA from 1 species
ACUAUGCACCUAUUAACUCAUCAGAUCUGCAUCUCUAGAUUCAUCUCCUCUAUGCCAGGUAUUAUACCAGUCAACACUUUAUGUAUUUCAUCCUCAUGACAACUCCACAUGGUCUCGCAUGGUUCUGAACACAUAGUAAAUGCUGAAUUACUAUUUCCUAAAUUAUCAUAAAGCUGAGAAGAAUCAUGAUUCUCAAACUUCACCUUGGAAUUAAAAUGGAUUUCCUUGAGAAGCACAUAUGAGCCGCUUCUACCCCAGGUAAGCAGACCUCUCCUGUGAUGUUCUGGAUAUGCCUGUCUCAACAGAUUUCAGGGUGGCCGUCUUCUCUGCAAAUUCAGUUCUCUGAUGUGUCCAAGGAGCUGCGGACCAGAGCUGUUCCCAUUCGGCCAUCUUGGACUCUGUCUUAUGUUUGGAAACAACUCUAAUGGUGAUGCCUGUGAGCUGGAGCAUUAGCCUGAAUGCCACCUGCAAUGCAGGUAAAGCAAGGUACAACCUAACAUGACUAGAUUAGAAGUGUGGCAUAGCAGCCAGCUGGCACCAAGGGAAGGCGGCGAGUUAUCUGAAGUAUACAGGAAAAUAUAAUAGAGUGUGCUCAAGGCAGUAAAUAAUUUUACCUAAAUAGUUACAUGAUGCUGAAGGGCCAAUUCAUAACUAGCGG